AACGAACGCUGGCGGCAUGCCUAACACAUGCAAGUCGAACGAGACCUUCGGGUCUAGUGGCGCACGGGUGCGUAACGCGUGGGAACCUGCCCUUAGGUUCGGAAUAACUCCCCGAAAGGGGUGCUAAUACCGGAUAAUGUCUUCGGACCAAAGAUUUAUCGCCUGUGGAUGGGCCCGCGUUGGAUUAGCUAGUUGGUAGGGUAAAAGCCUACCAAGGCGACGAUCGGUAGCUGGUCUGAGAGGAUGAUCGGCCACACUGGGACUGAGACACGGCCCAGACGCCUACGGGAGGGAGCAGGGGGGAAUAUUGCAGAAUGGGCGGAAGCCUGAUGCAGCAACGCCGCGGGCGGGAAGAAGGCCUUCGGGGUGUAAACCGCAUGCGCCUGUGACGAAGCGGGAGUGACGGUAAUGGGUAAAGAAGCACCGGCUAACUACGUG
rnacentral:rRNA from 1 species